UGAGCGAGAAGAGCAAAGUGCAGGU
rnacentral:misc_RNA from 1 species